CCCUUAGACGUUCUGGGCCGCCCGCGCGCUACACUGACCAGUGCAACAAGCAUCCGUCCUUGGCCGACAGGCCCGGGCAAUCUUUGAACGCUGGUCGUGAUGGGGAUAGACUUUUGCAAUUUUUGGUCUUCAACGAGGAAUUCCUAGUAAACGCAAGUCAUCAACUUGCAUUGAUUACGUCCCUGCCCUUUGUACACACCGCCCGCCGCACCUACCGAUUGAAUGGUCCGGUGAAGCCUCCGGAUUGGCGCGCACCUCGGUGCCGCCGAGAAGUUGGCUAAACCUUACCAUUUAGAGGAAGGUGAAGUCGUAACA
rnacentral:rRNA from 1 species